rnacentral:lncRNA from 1 species
CUCAGGAUCAAACCAAUAGUUAUACUUGGUUGGAUCGAUUGACGUCUAUAUGUUAAAUCAAUUGACCUAAAGACUUGAUUCAGCUCAGUGGCUUGAGCCUGAAUCACUUAAGCUAAUCUAUUUGAAACCAAUUAAUCAAUUGAUGUCUAAGAUAAAUGUUUGAAAGGUGGUUAUUUAAUUAGGAUCUUUGAUUCUUCAAAGAGGUACCUCCCAUCGAUCUCCACUUACCAAGC